rnacentral:lncRNA from 1 species
UCUCAAUUAAACAAAUUAAAUCUUCUAAAAUUGUUAGGUCCUUAAAAAUGAAAUAGUUAUGGUGAUAACUAGAUCAUAGCCUCCCAUUAAGUUGGAUGAUAAUGAGUCCAAUGAUUUAAAUGAUUAUUGGAGGCAUCACACGCUUGGUGCUCAUCUGGCUGUUGAAAUUAUCAUUCAUAAUAUGUUGUCUUAGUUGUGUCUUUCCGAUGAUGGUCAGGUUGGUCGAGCCACACUCGGACUUGGUCACUCAUUUGUUAGAUACAUAAAAUUUUGACAUGUUAAUGGUUGGACCUAACCGAACUUUCAGUGGAGGCGCCACACGCCUGCUGAAGAGGUGUCUGGGGUAAAA